UAUGGCUAUACCAUUCUGAUUGUGACUGAUCUAGUCUGAUCUUGGAUGCUAAGCAGAGUCGGGCCUUGGUUAGUAGUACUUGGAUGGGAGGCCCAUCUUCUCCAUCACAACCAAAGCAGGGUGAGGAGCUAUGU
ensembl:rRNA 5S_rRNA 5S ribosomal RNA